GCCCUCCCCGCUCAGGCUGCGUGGAAAAGCGCUACCGCUUUCAGGCAGUAGCGCGGGGAACGGGCGAGAUGCCAGAAGCCACGCUGCGGCCGCCAGAGAGGCCACAGGGGACGGCUCAGCCCGGCUGCCUGUAUCGCUUGGGGGUACCCGCGCAGCGUCCCCUGGCCGUCCCGAGAGGCUCCACCGCCGUUGGAGCGGCGCGAAUCGCCUUGCCCUCGCCGGGGCCGGAAGCGGAGCCGCGCCGGCGCGGGGACAGCCCACCGCCGCGGGGAGGGGUGCAGCCACCGCCCCCCGCCCGAUCCGGCGCCCCCAGAGGCGGGCGGCCAUCGCCCGCCAGCCCGCAGCUUGUCGCGCAGGUCUAGUCCGCCGCCAUGCCGGGGCCUGUACCUGCGCUGGAAGUCCCGCUCGAAGGGGGCCAGGUAGGGGUCCCGCUCUAGCAGCUCCGGUAGCUUAGGCGCCUGCGGGCCUUGCGUGCCAGAGGCGGCCAUCUUGCCACCACGGCUCGGUAGCGCCGGGCACGGCCGCUAUAUACCUCCAGGCGGGGGAGGGGGGGGUCUCGGCGCGGGGCGGGCGGGCGGGCAAGGAGCCCACUGCCUCUCACCGCCCGGCGCCGCCCACCGGCGGGGGCAGCCCCGGGACCGAGAGCCGCCCGCCUCCGCCGCCACUCCCCGCCCGCCGUGUGCCUCGCGGCCUUGGGCGGGGUGGGAGGCCGGGGCUGCGGGUGGUCCUGGCCGCGACGCUCGGGCUCCCUGGAAGGGGCACGGGGUGCGAGCGCUGCGAUAAAUUCCUCCGCCGCUCGGCGGGGCGCUGGGCAGCUCGCAGUCGAGCGCAGCGACGCGACUCUGAUGGCAUCCGUGAGCUCUCAUAAAACGCUGCGUGUGUCUGGCAGAAUGCUGCUUCGCGGGGGCCAGAGGAGACCUGAACAAAGUAGAGUGAGUUCAGUGGAUCCUAAAGCAGCUGUAAAUGCUGAAUAGCACAGAUAGAUUAUGAGGGACAGGGUAUCAAUCAGUGUGUUUCAUUUUUGGAUAGGCCUCCAGGUAUCCAGGGUAACUCUUUACCAGCCUGAUCGUGGCUGUUGUCCAGCACUUUUUUUAAGAUACAUACUGACAAUGUGUAUUUACAGGCCUCUUUUUGGAUACAUUUUAGCCACAGGUUAUAAACUUUCCAGCACUAGGGUACUUGGCAUUGCUUCCACAACCAUCUCCCAAGAUUUCUGUCCGUGGUUUGUAACUCAUCUCCCCUGCCUUGGCUUACUGUGGAUUUAGAGUGCCUUCCUAUUCUGCUGUCAGGUGACAGCCUGUAACAAACUACAGCAGUUCAUUUAUAGCUUCUCCAAAAAUUGGCUGCAGUGACAGUUUUCAAAAUUAUUUGUUUCAUCAAAUGGUAUGCAUUUAACUACGCUGUAUUUCUUUCCUUGCAGCAGUUUAUAACUACACACAAAAAAAUCCAAGUACUUUUGUCUUACAGAGAACUAAAAUUGUUCUCUGUCCUAAGAAUCAGUGGCUCAGUAUCUGGAUGGAGAUCAGUAGUAAGCGGUGUCCCUCAGGGAUCAGAACUGGGAUGAGUGCUGUUUAAUAUCUUCAUCCAUUACAUGAACAGUAGGAUCAAGUGCACCCUCAGCAAGAUUGUGGAAGAUGCCAAGCUGUGUGGUACAGUCAGCACAUCUGAGGGAUAGAAUGCCAUCCAGAGGGACCUAGACAGCUGUAAGCAGUGGACCCAGGUCAACCUCAUGAGGUUCGAUGAAGCCAUGUGCAAGGUCUUGCACCUGGGUCAAGGCAACCUCCUCUAUCAGUACAAGAUGGCAGUGAAGGAAUGGAGGACAGCCCUGCAGAAAAGGACUUGGGGGUACUGAUGGAUGGGAAGCUGGACAUGAGCCAGCACUGGGCCCUCACAGCCCAGAAAGCCAACUGUAUCCUGAGGUGCAUCAAAAGAAGUGUGAUCAGCUGGUCAAGGGAGGUGAUCCUGCCCCCUCUACUCUACACUGCUGAGAUCUUACCUGGAAUAGCAUGUCCAGGUGUGGACACGCUCCUCAGUACAAGAGAGAUGUGGACCUGUUGGAGGGUCCAGAGAAGGGCCACAGAAAUGAUCCAAAGAAUGGAACACCUCCCCGUGAGGACAAGCUGAGAGAGCUGGGGCUGUUCAGCCUGGAGAAGAGAUGCCUCUGGGGAGACCUGAGAACAGCCUUUCAGUAUCUAAAGGGGGGCUGUGAGAAGUAAGGGGACAGACCCUUUAGCAGUGCCUUAGCAGGGUCUGUUGUGAUAGGACAAGUGGAAAUUAUUUCAAACUAAAAGAGGGGAGACUUAGACUGGAUAUAAGAAAGAAGGUUUUUUACAAUAAGGCACUGAAACUGGUUGCACAAAGAGGUAGUGGCAGCCCUGUCUCUGGGGACAUGCAGGGUUUAGACUGGACAGAGCUCUGAGCAACCUGAUCUAGUCGGUGUCCCUGUUCACUACAGGGAGUUGGACUAGAUAACCUUUAAAGGCCCCUUAAACGAUUCUAGGAUUCUGAGAAAUUGUUACAUAACUUGCCUCGGUGUCUACCAUUUCUUCAGUCUCAGUCAGGACUGAAAACCUGUUAUAUGCCUCAGAACUGUCUGUGUAGCAGUGAUUCCCUUGUCUGUGUUAAACUGAAGUUUAAUAACUCUAUCUUAUUUCUGACAUCAUGCUAUGCACAUUAUGUUUUCUUUUGCAAACUGUCUCUGACAUUCCCAUAGUUAUCUGGUUGGGCAAGCAAAGAGGGGAGCAAAUCCAGCUGUUAAUCAAGAGCCAGGAACUUGUUUUUCACAAUAGCUAGCGUUUUACCUGUACUGCUGUUUGAGGCUUCCAGCUGUAAUGGAGAGGUUGCCUGCUGCUCACGAGGAAGGAGGGGGGAAAUCCCUGCAGUCUUUGAAUAUACUACCAUAGGAAACAGGAGCUUCAUUUUAAGCACAGUCUGUUUGGUUUUCUUAAUUAUCAGAAAGCUCAACAGGUUCAGAGUGCCAUUAUUAGCUAUUUGGCAUAGACACAAGAGAGAGAUUUAUAAAUUGGCAUUAGCAAUUCAUGUAAACAGUAGGAAUAUUGCUGUGACUUCGAGCUCCCUGGAGACAGAGACCCUUUCUUAACCUUUGUUUGUGAGAUUGUAAGCAGAAAUAACACAGUACCCAGACUCGCAUCCAAGCAUCCUUGAAUGUCAGGAAGUUAAAUUCUUCAAGUAGCCCCAAGUGCUAUAUUUAAUACCUUGUGAAUUGGGAAAUUGAUAACCAUUCUAUUUGUAUCCAUUCAUGUUCAAGUUUACAACUGAGGUGUGAUUUUAUCUGCCUGCUCAAAGACACAAAGGCAUAUAUUACUGUGAUCUAUUCCAGUGUGAUCUGGCUGAGACUCUAAGGCUGAAUUUGGCUCUGAGGACAUUGCCAUUUAGUCUUCUACCUAGAGGCAAAAAAAGGGCACUCGAAACAAUAAAUGUUGUUGCAGUAGAUGAAUGCUUCUUUGUGUAUUUGUCUGACAUCCACCCAAAGAUAGCAGCUGCCAGUAGAGAUAGGAAGAAGGGGUGGAUGGUAAUAACUGCUCUUUUGGGGGACAGUAAUGGAUCUUAAAGGACUGGCAUCUGAGGCAUGUGUCUGGCACCCAGCUACCACCAAGAACAGAGUAUAUCAAACCACUCUAAAUUUGUCUUUCAAAGGAUGUUUAUUAUUAAGUUGUGUAUACUUUAAAAUGUUGCAUAGCAGUGCUAUGCAAUAACUAGUUACAAUUCUUAUAAUAGUUUCUGUACGAAGUUCAAAAAGAAAUCCAAGUUUUGUAUUGAAGAACAUUCAAGAACUGACUACUCACGUAAUGCACUACAGCAAUUUUCAUUUUCUCAUAUAUUGCUCUUACUUGCAAAAGUAGACAGAGAUGCUAAACUGUAGGAACAGGGUUCUUUCUCUGAAGCACUGGUUCAAAUUCUUCCCACCAUCCUGGCUCUCAGAUUGGCCAGAGACCACCUCAUGGUGUUAGCUGGAGCCUGCAGGGAGACAGACAGGACAGUUGUCAAGGGUACUGUGUAACUAGUUUUCCUUCCACUAUAGGCAUAAAAGGGGCAUUGCAAACAUACAGUACAUUUCUUAAAUAUCACUAAUCUACAUAGUCUUUACAGGUAGGUCAGACAUUGGCAGUUGAGAUUAUACAAGUUUUUUAUUCCUGUCUUUGAGCUUUCCAAGGCUCUGCUGAGAUGCAGAAGGAGGAAAAAUGGGCAGUGUUGCACAGUUGCUGAAUCUCAGCAGCAUGUCAGUUCUUUAAUUAAAACAUUAAAAAGUUUUGCAGUUUUUGUAAGGAUUCAACUAUUAAUUAAUUACUUAGGAAAAAUAAAGGAUAUAACAUUGAAAAUUACAGCAAACAUUCCAAGAAUCCAUUAGUCUAUCCCUUAAUUAGUUUAUGGUUUGGGGGGUUUGUUUUUGUUGGCUUUUUCUCUGUCAGUUUGUUUUAGGAAAUUUAUUAUUCAUUGAGAUUGUCUUUUUAGGUCUUACCAUUGCCCUCGUAUGGUAACAGGAUCUUUAAAUAGAAACACAUCUUUAAAGAUCAAAAGUAAUCUGAAAUCUAAACUACUAAAAAGCCACUUUCAGAGUUGUCAAAUUCCACUAAAUGCUUUUGAUAGGAAUGCUAUUUGCACUUAGCAUACAGAACCAAAAUCACACUGUAGCAGCAUGAAAGCACUAGAUAAUGGCUGCUUUUUGCUUUCAUGUUACUGAAGUAUUACUAUGAUCUGGUGUCCCCAUGGAACACCUCCCUUGUAAGGACAGACUGAAAAAGCUGGGACUGUUCAGCCUGGAGAAGAGAAGCCUCUGGGGAGACUUGAUAGCAGCCUUUCAGUGUCUGAAGGGGGGCUGUAAGAAAGAAAAGGACAGACUCUUUAGCAAGGUCUGUGGUGACAGGACAAGGGAAAAUGGUUUAAAACUAAAAGAGUGGAGAUUUAAAUUGGACAUAAGGAAUUUUUUUGCAAUAAGGGUGGUGAGGCUCUGGAACAGGUUACUCAAAGAUGUGGUGGAGUCCCCAUCUUAGGAGACAUUCAAGGACCUAUAAAGGUCCUUUCCAACUUAAAAGAUUUUAUGAUUCAUUACUACUUAGUAAGAAUAUUUUACUUCAUGUUAUUACAUCACUUCAAUAAUACUCCAUAUCUUUUUGUUUGUUUUGCUUUGGUUUAAUCUCUUCUUUGUAACAAACAGAUAAAUAUUUAUAAUUUUGAGUUUUCUGAGUUAAUGUUAUCCUACUUCAGCUGGAAUUAUGGAUUAAUGUUUCUCAGUUUCCAAUGCCCUUCGUUUUUUGGUGUCUCUUUGAGUUUUUUGUUAAUCUCUCAAAAUUCUCCCUGGAUGUUGGAUUCAGUCUCCUAAUUCCACUGAAGAAACAUUUGAUAUCUGAUUUUAGUUUAACUAACCACUCUGUGCAGAUAUUUCUCCCAUUCUGCAUGAUCAGCUUCUACAGCAGGGCUCUCAUAUAAGUUCUGGUUUCCACUGCUUUCAUAUUUCAACUUCUUUGUUAGCACUUCAUUCUGUUUGUGUAUGCUUAAUCAGAAUAACCUUUUAAAUUGUACAGAUUUCAGCUUGUGCCAGUAUUCAGUCUUUCUGCAUUAUGUUCUCUUCUCAGGCAACAUCCAGGCUUGUCAUUUUCCAAUUGUCCAUUCAUUCCAUCAGGACAGUAGGCCUUCCCCAAUGAUCAAAUUGUAAUUUGAAGUCUGUAAAGGUGAAGUGUAAGCCUUUUUGGCUGCAGCUGAGAGGUAUGAAUAGCCUUUUUCCUUAUGUCAGUCUUCAGUUAGCAAUCCAGUAGAGGCCUUGUUGGAGAUGCUCUUCCAGUAUAUUGAAUCUUUUCCAGUUUCCUCACUAUAUGUUUGUGCUAAGUUCAGCUGCUUUCUUACUACACUAUUUCUUACCACUGCAUAUAUGCUUUGCUGCUGCAUCUUACCUUGUCAUAUCCCUUUUGCCAUGUUUCCCUAAGAAGAAUGUUUGAGUGUAAAUACUGAUAAAAAUAACAGUGUUACAGCUUCUGAGUCAUCUGCUCACUUUGGUAUUUUUGAUUUUGCUGUUUAUUAUCUAUGAUGGCUGACAUCGCUUCUCCCCUCAUAUAUGCAGCUAGCUCAUUCCAUGUUGUUCUGGUAUCUGCAGGCCCUAAAACUGUCUGCACUCCAGGCCAUCCCUAUAGCUAUUUAAAUACAUCUGUGUAUUUAAACAUUCAAGGCUUGUUAAUUUCUACUGUGCUGCCAUGCACAAAACACUAAACAGAGCCUGACAACUUUUUCUGCUUCUAAUAUGUCUCUGCUUUCUUUUGGCUUAUGACCAUCAUAGUGGUAUAAUCAUUCAAAUUCUGGUCUUCCUUCUUAAAUCCAGACAGUGUUAUGCAUCCACUCAUAAUAAUCAGUUUCUAGAUCUUUUGAAAGAAUCUAGAAAGAAUUUUGAAAGAAUUUGAAAGAGCCCAAAGAUUUAGUCCCUGCUUAAUACCAUUUCCUCACCUCAUCUAUUUCUUCCAAAAAAAAUAAAAAUGGAUAGAUUUCCUAGGAGCAGAGUGGGAAUGUCCAGCAGGGGACUGGGUUUGUUUUUGUCCUACCUAAGAAUCACAGAAUUAUAGAAUCAUUAAGAUUGGAAAAGGAAACUAAGAUCAUCUAGUCCAACAGUCAACCCAACACCACCGUGCCUUCUGAACCAUGUCCUCAGAGCCUUGGUUCCCCUGUCAAUGGUCUUGUCCUUCACUAAUCAGCUAUAAGAGAAACAAAGUCUCUGUUCAGCUGAUUCACAGGAAGGGAGCAGACACAAAGAUCUCUGAUCACCUAGGGCUAUGAUCAGAGGCUUUUAAAGCAAUCUUUGGGCCUCCAUCCAGUGUCCACCUAGUGUCAGUUUGCCAGACUGCCACAUUUUCUUUCUCAGAUUUUCAGCAGCUGGCAUCCACCACAAAGACUGCUGCCUAUCUACAAGAGAUUAGUACACUGUAAAUGAGAAAUGCUUCAAAAAGUCUUCCAUGCCUUUGUCCUCCUCUAUUAAAACUUAGUCUCACAGACCACAUUGAGAUCAUCUACUGUUAUUUUUCUGUUAGUCUUUGUCUGGCUCUUUAACCUUUGCUGUUAAAGCAUUGGUUUAUGCAAAUAGAGAGAUUUCUUCAUUGAUAAGAUUGUUAUCCAAAUUAUUAGUAAUCUUUGUUUUUUCCCUCUUUCCCUGUUUCAGCUGCACAUUUAAAAUACUGAAAUGCUCAUACAGUUCACAAAUUCUCUAUUGCUUCUUGGCCUGUGCAAUCCUUCAGCUGUCUCCUCAGUAACUCUUAUGUUGUCUUCUGUUUCAACACAUGCACAAGAAAAACUCACAAAGGAUUCCAUCCUGGGAGCUGAGUCAUUCUCUAAAUCAAGAACUGUCAUUCUCUGUACAUAAAAUAUUCCUCUGCAGAGCUUAAGGGAAUUUAUAUCUGCAUAGAAGAAAAUUGAGCCUCAUGCCAAUAGAUGAGAUAGACUUUAUGGCUUCUCCAUGAUCACACCACAUAUUGGUAAAAGCAUGGAACUGUGAAAUAUGAGAUGCAAAUGUCAAAAUAUUUCUUUGUUUUUGUAAGGAGUUGCACAAGGAGUCAUUCCUUUUCUGUACAACAAAGUAUGGGUAUUCAUAACUGUAAAAAAAGCCACGCUACCAAGAAUAGAAAAAAUAAAUGCCAUUUGUUGUUUGUUGUUUUGUUUUUCUAAUUUCCUUUCUGUAGAAUGUAGCAUCAAUAUUCUCAAAAAAAAAAAAAAAAAAAAAAAAACCAAAAAACACUAGAAUGACUUUUAGGAGACCAAGGAGAAAAUUCAAUCCCUCUUUCCCCCAGUGUUGCUUGAUUUGCCCCAUCUCCUGGACCAACUUUCAAAUAGGUGACACUAUAGGAAAGCACUUUAAGGAAUGGAGAACCAGUACAGCAGUGGGUAGGACAUUGUUCUCAGCUGCGAAGUGCAGUGGUCUUCAACAAUGAUCACUUUGGAAUCAGUAUUUAAUUUAUGAAAUACACACAACUCCAUAGAAACGAUGCCACAGAUUUCAAACAGCAUUGGAUCAAACUUGUGAGAUAACUGUAUUUUAACCUUGAACUGACCCCGCUCCUGCUCACUGUAUGAUCUGCUUUGUCUUAACCCUAUCGUCUUUAGUACUUUUGAAAGUUCAUCUGUGUCAACAAGGCAAAAGCAAAACUCUGAGAACAGCUUUAGUUCUUUUUCUUUCCAUGUCUUACUACAAAAAAUAAAAAUAAAAAAAAAAAUAAAUUCCCUGUGCCUGUGCUAUUUCUCUUGUUAUUACAAUUUACUUGAAGAUCAGUGCAUAUCUGCAUAAGACUCUUAAAUUGCUAAACAAACAAACAAAAAUUGAAAAAAACAUAGAAAUAGAAAUCUUCUAUAGUGCUUUUAUCAAAGCAUUUCCACAGAAAUGAUGCAUAUCUAGCUCCUAUGGUUCUUAACAACUUUAGCUCUUUAUAACCUUAGCUCUUUCAGGAUGUGAAAACAGUAGUCAUACUGCAGCAUAUGCUAGAGAGCACCCCAAUCUGUCCUAGGAUGCCAAAAAGGGGGAGAAAAGGAAUCCCCAACUAAGAAAACUUAUACAUUUUACUGAAUGGGAAGCUUAUUGUAGAGUUUUUGCUAAGCCAUUACUAUGGCUCUCUCACUUUGAAAUAGAACAUAAAAGGGUUUCAGCAUCAUGAAAAUCAAAAUACAGCCACCUGUUUUUGACAAUUCUCCCCCACACACAGAAAGUACAUUUAUUCUUUAUAUGCGUAUUUGUUUUGCAUGCUGUGGCAUUCUCUUACCAGACUUCUCAGUUACAGAAACAUGUCAGUUAAAAAUUAUUUUUACUACUCGCAAAUGCAUAUUUCAACUGGUACAUGGAACCAUUAAAAGUUUUGCUACACAGCAGCACCUGCAGAACUAAAUAAUUUUCUGCUCCUACUGUGAAGAGAUACCUCUAUUAUUGUCAGUGUGGUAUGGUAAACAUUGUAAUUCUGAACAUGCCCAUGGUACUGUGUGGCUGAUACUGUUGGAAUGCUCCAUGCCACAGAUCCUAUGUAUCAGCCAUCAGUCACUUCUAAUGUCAAUCUGUUGCUUUCUCCUGGAAAUAACUGAUAUAAUCUCACUGUAGUUUCUAUUAUAAGUCCAAUUUGUCCAUGCUCAUUAUGCAUAUAAACUCCUUUGCAUCAGAAUGAGAAUAUGAUGAAGACAGACAUAUUGAUACAUACUUAUCAAUACAUACACCCAAAUACAUGUUGUCUCUAUAAAAGCAAUAAUACAAAUGUAUUAUAUUCAGCUUUAAACAGAACUUUGGUAAUGUAGUUGUAGAUAUAUUGCAUAUUGCUUUUGGCACUACUAAAAAUAAGUCAUUUGGAUUAACCAUUUUCAAGAAGUACAUUUUAUAACUGGAACAUAUUUAUUCAAGUUCUCUUUUGGAUUAAUGCAAUUUGUCUGAGAGCAUGCACUAAUUUCUGUUCUCAGCAUAGCCUUGGGAGGUUAAAAAUGUUAAAUAUGAUUCUUUGCAGGUUUUAAUAUAUCAUCUUGCCUUAUGAAGAGUUGAUUAUCACCACCCAGUGGUGCUUACAUACUGAUAGAAUUCAUGAUUAUAUGUAUCCAAAGUAGUACCAAGAGUACCAUACAAAAGAACUGACUAUAUUCUAUGUAAGUAGCUACUUAAUUGUAGUCAGUAUCAUAAAAUAUUGACGAGUUCUCAUUCUCUUAAAAAUUGGAGCUUUUUGGUCAAGCAAACUGCUUUUCCUUGGACAAAAUUUAUUGCAGUAAGUUGCUGAACUGAAAGUUUAAUUUAAGUUGUAAAAUUGAAAAGCUCUUGUAAUUGAAAAUGAAAAAUAUGGAGUAGUCUGAAUGCACGAAUGAGGAGUAAAUUACAGAUAAAAGGACUGACUAGAGAGGAACCCAUACGGAUAGUUGGAUGUUUACAAAUUACGUUUUAAUGUAAGAUGUAAUUAUAACUUUAUUUUUCAUCUUGAUUCGUUUUCAUUAUUUUCAUGCAAACACAGUGGCAGUUACACAGGAAAGCCAAAUACAGUCUGUAGAAAUUACUUCGGCCAAGUUUAAACAAAGUAUACUGAAAAAUGGUCUCAUAUUUUCACCUGGGAAAACCUUCUAUUUAGCAUUUAUAGCUCUCUACUGAAGGGAAGGAGUACCAGUAAUUCAUACUGCCAGUCUAUCAAAAUCCUGAGCUUUCUCUAUAAAUUGAAAAUACCAAGUUUUUUCGCACAGUUUAUAAAUAUAUUAGACUGCCUAUACAUCUUUUAUGAUUUAUCCAUUCACUUCUCACUGGUAUAAAGCUAAAACAAACUGACUUUUAAUUGUAGCCUUGAAACUCAGAAAUGAAAAGUAUAAAAAUAGGUGGAACUAAUCAUCUAUUGCAGAAAACUGAGGGCAGUUCUAAAGUUCAAGAAGUUUUUUUAAAAAAUAAAAUGAAUGUAGUCUUUAUGAGAAAUGUCAAUUUUAUUCUGGGCAACUGCAGUCAAAACAUGAGGGUUUUAGCUGGAGCAGUUAAGAACCAUAUGCUCAGAAAACUAAAAGAAGGAAAUAAUAGUUUUGGAAAAAGGUUAACAUCUUGACAUUAAAUUAUGGACUUUAAUAAAAAUUAUGAUAUGUUUUUAUAUGAUCAGGUAUAACUGACUGCUAUGGCAGGUAAUAAAACAGAAAUGAAAAGACUCAUUUCAUCUGUCAGUCUCUGGUUGCAGUAGAGCUCUGCAGGAAACCUAAAUGUGUGGGUCUUUGAACUGACCUAAAUAGCUGUGCGAAAUAAACCUGCUUUGCUUUCAAGCCUCAGUGCUGGAGAUAAAAGUAUCAUAUUCACUCUGGCUUGUUUUGUUCAAUAGUAUAGAAAACUUUAGUCCCAGUUUCAAACAAUAGCUCCUGCCUUUUAUAACCUGUUCUGCAGGUUUUUAAUUGAAUAUUUUUUAUUCAUGAAACUAAUUACACAUAUGUAUGCUUCUAUAAUUGCAGUGUGGUCCUUAAACUGUAUAAAUCAAAUUUGUCUUUAUGGGAUGCAGCUUUAUUAGAUUACUAUUACUUUGGAAUGAAUUUAUUAUUAUUAUAAUUAUUUAGAAAAAUAAUACUGCGUUUGUGUAAUCAAUAACCGUAAUUUUAUAGAUUUUAAGCCUUUAAAAGAAAUAGCAAAUCAUUAACUGUAAAUAGGACAAACUUUUUCAAUGAGUGCCUUUCUUCUAGGCAUCUAAAGCUGCUUAGAACAGUCUAAUGGCUUUUUUUUUUUUUUCCCUGCAAUGUGACUAAAUAGAUAAAGUCAGUGGGAGAUAAGUACCUAACUUGUUAAAGAUCUUUCAAAAUCUCAAUUGGUGUUCAUCAAAAUCAUUAGAUGUUGAAAUCCCUUAGGGGAAUCUGGAUCUAAUUCUCUCUACAGCCAUUUAUAUGUGGCUGAUGUGAUGUAUACAGAAAGUGUCAGUGCAGUUUCUGCAUAAAGUUGUUAUUUUCAUAACCAUGCACAGCAAAUGCUAUGCCUUUCAAAUCUCCUGCAAUAUUAGCAUGGUCCCUCAACUGUCUUACUGCUAUUAAAUGGGUAAAGAUGCUCAUACUAUCAAAGUUCAUUUCCACACUGACAAGGAAAUGACUGUACUGAUAUUGGGCAUAUGCAUAAUGGUGCAACUUCACUCAAAAAUGGGAUAUCCAUAACCCAAAAAUUUAAAAACUACAUAACAAUCUUAUACACCAAUCCUAUCAGUUCUUACAUUUAAAAACUAUCUGUACUUCACUAUAAAGUACCAUUAAAUCCACCUGUGAUUUUAGGCUCAAUGUCAGGUAUGUAAGUCAGCCAGAACUUCACCCCUCACACCUAAGGCUGAAAACUUGUCUUAAACUGACAUGCCUUUAUUUAUGUACUUUGGGAUUCACUUGUUCAAAGAAAGAGGUUACAGUAGUCAAAGCUUCACACAGAAACCUUCAGAUUUUUUAUAGCACUGCUACGCUGAUGUGACAGAAUACUGCAUGAUGAUAGAAGAUAAAAGCUAAAUGGUGUUCUGAUUAAUACAAAUACAUUAUUUUCACAUACCUUUCCAAAACAUUCAGAAAAUCAUUAAAUACAUUUUACUUUUCCAGAGAGAUUAAAAAAAUUAGCUCUCAGGUGAUUUUUUCUGAUUAUUUUUACUAUAUAAAUGAAAUUACAAAAAGGACAAUUGUCCAUUUAAGAAUAUUUCUUACCGUGCAUUCCACUGAACAAGUUAGCUAUUUAUCAAAGAAAAGCCAUAGGUCUUUGUUAAUAGAACUUUAGAAAAUAUGAAUGCAAAACAUUCUUUUUUCCUUGCAUAUUACAUAAAAUAAACCUUAAACAGAAAACAUAUUCCUUUCCUAUUCAUUCCAGAUUUGUGAAUCAAAUUCUGUUUGGUAGUUUUAUUACAUCUCAAUAUCAUGAAGAAUUCCACAAAAAGAGAGGAAAAAAAAAGUGGUCCUUUUUUACUUUAUGUAUAUAUUUGUGACUUGCUGAAUCAAGCUUGCCAAUCUAGCUGCCUAAUAUUACCUUAUCAGAUGCAGUAAAUAUGUUAAGAGCAUUAAUACUGACAUUCUUGCAAUGCAAAUUAUGCAUCAGAUAUAAAUACAUGAUAUCACAUGCUUACAAUAGCGAUUAAUUUGGAAAUUGCAAAAUAUCUUCAUACAGAAAUAAUAUCCACAAAUUUUCAGUUUUUUCUUUGAAUGAUACUAUCAUUACCUUCUAAUGAAAACUCCAAGUAAAAAGUUCUUUGCAGCAUUGUUCUCAUCUUGUAACUGGAUUUGAUUUGCUUAAGAUUUUAACAUAUUCAUUCUUCUGCUGGCUACCAAAAUUGAUGUUAAGAACAAAACUCUAGAAAAGAUAAAGAGGAAAGUAAAGAAGAGUGAUGUCAGUUGAAUUUUCUUUUACAAAUACACCUAGAUACAAAAGGAGCUACGUGAAUGAUCUCCAAAUGAAAAAAUAUCUAGUUGUCUAUUACAAAAUAUCAGAAACCAAAUACUGCAUUCUGUUCUUAGCUGCAAUGCUUUGAAAAUAUAUCAAAAAUGAAACACUGCAGCACACAUUGGCCAGAGGUGUGACAUCACUGGAGAUUAUGUAUUUUGCAACUCUGAUGGCUGCAUUGAGAGCAGACUGGAGAACAGAAAUUACAGACGUCUACGUACACAUUCUGAGGAAAACUUCCAACACUAUUCACUGACAGUUAAUAAGAUCAUAACUGAGUUUAUCAUAUGGGUCUAUUUUCCCUGUUAUACAAAUAUCUAAAGAUUAUCUGUCUGUGUAGUUAGUCUUUCUGAUGAUAUGAUGCAUAAUUUUUGAUUAUUUGAUUGUUCAUCUCUUUCAGUAAAACAGAAAUAAUUUGAGUUUUGCAGGUUGGAAAGGUAAUCCCCCCCCAAAAAAAAGAUACAUUUUAAGCCUCUUUACAAGCUGUAGAAUGAUAAAUAAUUUUUAUGACGGGAGCUAUUGCCAUUUCUCAAAGGCUGCAUGAGAAAUAGUUUUUAAAAAUAAAAAUGUAAGUGCUGGGAAAACAAUUGAAAUGCUCUGAGUCCUUUACGAUCAUACUGACUACAUUCAGGUGAUAAUCAACAUCCAAGAAUUAGCAGAGAAAGAGUAAAGCAAGUCUUUCUUAUGCCUUGCUACUGUUUGCAUUACUGUCUGAAUCAAGAGGAAGAUGAUCAUAAGUUACAACUACACAUUUCACUGGCAAAUACCAUUUAAGUAUUUAAAAGAUCUUAAUUUUGCUGAUGAUGUUAAUCAGCAACAGAAAUACAUGUGGUUGGUGUUUUUUGCCUUUUUUUUCCAAUAAGGGUGUAAGAAAUGUAUGCCUGUAUACAUCACAGAUAUUGUUUGAAAUAUCAAGUUUUUUUUGCUUACCUAGAAAGUCAUAGGUGCAGUAAUGAUGACACCAGGCAUACAAUAGCCCAUAACAAAAUACUUCAUAAACUUGAAAUAUUUUGGCCACAGUAGCACGACCAGAACUAACACAAAAAUAAUUUCCAAUAUCUCCUCUCCUUCUCUAGAGAUGUUCCUAGAACUUAUCCUGGAAUGCAUUGUUCUUAUGAGGGAAGUCUUUAAAAUACAUUCUAAAGAACGCACUGUGUCUUCCGGAAGUCUUCUGGAGAGCAGAUAAACUGAAGACAUCCAUCAGAUGUGAAACACAAAUAGUUACACUCCAACUUCCACAACAGAUUCAAUCUAAAAAAGAGAAGAGAGACUUCCUAAAGUCACAGGAAUCGCAAGGAAAAUGCCUUUAUCAUCACAACAAGGCUCAAAAGUCUAAGCAAGCUAAUCCAAGCCCAAAAUAUGUCGUAAUCUGUGGUAAAUAAUCUUGAAUAAGUACAAGAUAAAGACAGACAUAUUGAAAGCACUGUAUGCAUUUUUGUUACCAAUAGGAAAAGAAUGUAAUUUCAACAUGGGUUACACUUUUACUUCUGAAUGUUAUUCUCCCCCAUAUCGUGAACAAGAAUGGAGAUUAAAAAAUAGAAGUCACUCACAAUAUCAUAAAUAAAGUGUGAUAGUUUGUUAAUUUGUGUGUAGUAUAAGUGAAUGCAUGUAAAAAGAACUAGAGAUUAAAAUUCAUCCUUUUGCAGUGUGAAACUGGUGGCAGACUUUGAAAACAAUUUACUUCAGUAAUAAAUAACAAACCAGACAUUACCAUGGCAACAAUAAUAUUGGAGAUGCAGUACUUUAUGAAAUUGUUGGGUUAAAUGAACUUUUGUAAAACUCACUUGGUUUGAAAGUUUUCUCAUUACUUAAUUUUCUCUAAAAAACUUUAAAACAAGUGAAAAUGUGAAUACAGCUACUUUUUUAUACAGGUAAGGCUACAAGCUUCUUAAGGUGUAUGCCUAUAAAUCCAAAUUCUAACACUCACCUCAUUAUUUGUAUUGAUGAGGCAGAAUUCAGCUGGAUGUGGCAGUAGUCCCAGAGGACUUUAUUUCCAGACCACUGGCUAUAAAAACUAGCAGUACUCACAAAGUAGUGGAAUUUAACCACCCUGAUCUGACACAAAACAUUGGCUCAGGAUGGUCCUUGAUAUACUCCAAACUUGUAAGAGGUCUGAAAUGUACAGCAACAGGAAGACUGAAGGCCAUUCUGACCUAUCACCCUUGGUAAGAGCAGUCCUGUAGUUUCAAAACACUACCACCAUCCUUGCCACUAGAGUUAUAGCCAGAGUAACAUCUUUGACUUGGUCUUCUCUGUGUCUCAGCCUGACUGUUAUUCUUCUGGUUCACAUUUCUAGUUACAUCACUGCAUCUGAGCUGACUCCCUAGAAACUACAGAUAGAUGGAGCUAGAUAGUGUACCUGGGCAUCUCAAUUGGCACUCACUGUCUAAGUUUUAGCAAUGAAGUCUCAUGCCUGUUUUGCAGAAAUGGGCAAACACCAUUUUGACCAUUAUCACUUCACUGGUUUUGUUUUCAAUUUUGUUAAUUUACUGAUUCAUACCUCUUGGGUUACCCAACUUACCUUCCUAUGUCUUAACUGCUCUGUGGAUGUCACUUGCUGUAGCAGCACUGGUCUACAAGCACAUAGAAUUUGCUUGAUUCAGGUACCAUCAUGUAGCCUCUUUCAGUAGAGAAGGGUAUGCUUCUCAAGACAAUGAAUCCAGUAUCAUGGUCCCAGUGUCUUGUUUGCAUACAAACUUAACUAGACUGUGGGCCUAGAUGCAUGAUUGGACUUCAGUGAUUUGUUACCUUAUAUAUAAACUAUAAAAGGAAUUCACAACUUAAAGAAUUUAAUAGAAUGGAUAACAUGCAAUAAACAGCCACUCAUAAAGAAUCAGUGGAUUCUUGAUACUAGGAUUCUAUCUACAUCCAAUCUAAAUUGUCAAGAGAAUUGUAACUGGCAUCUAAAUGACAGAGAUACAGUUCUGAGAAUUAUGAGAGUGAACAAAAUAAAAGGAGAAAAAGCACAGUUUAAAAAAAGAACGUGCAUAAUCCUGGUAACAGAAUUAGGUUUUUGGCGAGAAGUCAGUAGGCUGAAUUUAAAUGUUAAUUUUGAUCUGUAGAGCAGAAUGUGCUUGAUAAUAAAGGUUAGAUUUUAUUUUAUUUUUUUAGUAAGUAUCCUAUCACACAGUGAGAUUUAUAUCCUAAUUAGUUUAUAACCCUGUAGCUAGUCCAUCUUACAAACAAUUAGCUGAGAGAUUUUCUUAGUCUAGUGUUUCAUAUGAGUGCAAUAAUUUCUGUUUUCUUCCUCCUGUCCUCUUCAUUGCUUUCCCCUCUUGUUAAUAGCCUUGGGAAAAAAAAAGAAAAAAGAAAAAAGAAAAAAAACCACAGGGAUCUCCUGGAAAGAGUCCAGCAUAGGGCCACAAAGAUGAUAAAGGCCAUAGAGCACCUCUCUUAUGAGGAAAGGAUGAAUCACCUGGGUCUGUUCAGCUCUGAAAAAAGACUGAGAGGGGAUCUUAUUAAUAUUUAUAAAUAUCUUAAGUGUGGGAGUCAAAGCAACAUGACAAACCAGUUUUCAGCGGUCUGUGACGAGGAGAAAUGGCCAUAAACUGGAGUAUAGGAAGUUCUACACCAAUAUGCAAAGGACUUCUUCACACUAAGGGUGAUGGAGAACUGGAACAGGCUGCCCAGGGAGGUUGUAGAUUCUCCUUCUCUGGAGAUAAUCAAGACCUGCCUGGACGCCUACCUGUAUAGGGGACCUAGUCUGCUGUAGGGGGCCUGCUUUGCAGCAGGAUUGGACUUGAUGAUCUCUGGAGGUCCCUUUCAACUCUUGCAAUUCUGUGAUUCCAUGGAAAGCAAAACCUAAAGGGUAAAAACAACCCAAGCUGUAGAUGAUAUUAAAGAAUACAACUUAUAACAUCGUAGCUUUUUCCUAUGAAACAAGUUAGGACCAUUAUUUCUCAGAUUACAACAUCUCUGAUUGAUGUAUGUAUAAGAACAUUUUGUGCAGAUAACAGUAUAAAGUUUAUACAGCUAAUAGUGGAAAAAUCGGAUUCAAUACUUUGUGUCUGAGACGUGAAGAAUAGCUUCAUAUUCUUUAAGUUCCAUUCUUUGAGCUAAAUUAAUCACUUCUACUGUUCUGUCAUCAAUUGUCCACUGAUAUUUGAAAAUCACAGAGCCUACAUUUUAAAGCUAUUGUACUGUACAUGUUGUACAACAGCUGUUAGACAUCAUUUAAAGAGGAAAACAUUUCUGCAAACACAUAUAAGACAUCAGGAAAUAAACUUACAGAAGCAAUUCCUUUAGGCUAAAACCUGACAUAAGGAAAUAAACUAAUGCACACUAAAAUAGAUUUAAUAAGCAUUUCAAUCGGAACAUAUAUAGCCUUCUUUCUUAAGAUGAGAGCAAGAAUACUGAUCUUGGUAGAAUAAGCCAAGUAAGAAGACAAAUGCUUUGACCAUAGCAGAUUCAAAUGAGGAUAUACAGUAUAUUGGUUGCGUGCCAAUUGCUGAUGUUCUAAACAAAGUCUAAGUACAAAGCAUUCAUAACCUUUCACAGUCAAGUUAGCAAUUUAAUUUGUGUUCAAAACUGACUUUGGCAUCAUCAGGAAUACACACUCACAAAUCAAGUGUUUUAAAAAUGGAUUGUUCUGAUAAAGAGAAAAAAAAUGAGUUUAUAAAAGGGAAUUAACAAAAUCAUGAAAGUAUAUUUAAAACUACUGAUAAUUAUUUAAAUACAUUUCAGGGCAGAGAUAACAGCAAAACUUGGCCAUGCUUGCUGAUUCAAGGAAUAAAAUGAAGUACAUUUUCUGUAAUUACAUUUUCUUAGAAUCAUAGAAUCGUUAAGGUUGGAAAAGACCCACAGGUUCAUCCAGUCCAACCAUUCGCCCUUCACCAAUGGUUCUCGCUAAACCAUGUCCCUCAACACAACAUCCAAACGCUCUUUGAACACCACCAGGCUCGGUGACUCCACCACCUCCCUGGGCAGCCCAUUCCAGUGCCUGACCACCCUUUCAGAGAAGUAGUUCUUCCUAACGUCCAGCCUGAAUCUUCCCUGGCGCAGCUUGAAGCCAUUCCCUCUAGUCCUAUCACUAGUCACACGAGAGAAGAGGCUGACCCCCAGCUCACUACAACCUCCCUUCAGGUAGUUACAGAGAGCAAUAAGGUCUCCCCUGAGCCUCCUCUUCUCUGGACUGAACAAUCCCA
rnacentral:lncRNA from 1 species